rnacentral:rRNA from 1 species
GGGUUGUGAGGUUAAGCGACUAAGCGUACACGGUGGAUGCCCUGGCAGUCAGAGGCGAUGAAGGGCGUGCUAAUCUGCGAUAAGCGCCGGUAAGGUGAUAUGAACCGUUAUAACCGGCGAUACCCGAAUGGGGAAACCCAGUGUGACUCGUCACACUAUCAUUAACUGAAUCCAUAGGUUAAUGAGGCGAACCGGGGGAACUGAAACAUCUAAGUACCCCGAGGAAAAGAAAUCAACCGAGAUUCCCCCAGUAGCGGCGAGCGAACGGGGAGGAGCCCAGAGCCUGAAUCAGCAUGUGUGUUAGUGGAAGCGUCUGGAAAGGCGCGCGAUACAGGGUGACAGCCCCGUACACAAAAGCGCAUGUGCUGUGAGCUCGAUGAGUAGGGCGGGACACGUGGUAUCCUGUCUGAAUAUGGGGGGACCAUCCUCCAAGGCUAAAUACUCCUGACUGACCGAUAGUGAACCAGUACCGUGAGGGAAAGGCGAAAAGAACCCCGGCGAGGGGAGUGAAAAAGAACCUGAAACCGUGUACGUACAAGCAGUGGGAGCACCCUUUGGGGUGUGACUGCGUACCUUUUGUAUAAUGGGUCAGCGACUUAUAUUCUGUAGCAAGGUUAACCGAAUAGGGGAGCCGGAGGGAAACCGAGUCUUAACCGGGCGUUAAGUUGCAGGGUAUAGACCCGAAACCCGGUGAUCUAGCCAUGGGCAGGUUGAAGGUUGGGUAACACUAACUGGAGGACCGAACCGACUAAUGUUGAAAAAUUAGCGGAUGACCUGUGGCUGGGGGUGAAAGGCCAAUCAAACCGGGAGAUAGCUGGUUCUCCCCGAAAGCUAUUUAGGUAGCGCCUCGUGAAUUCAUCUCCGGGGGUAGAGCACUGUUUCGGCUAGGGGGCCAUCCCGGCUUACCAACCCGAUGCAAACUGCGAAUACCGGAGAAUGUUAUCACGGGAGACACACGGCGGGUGCUAACGUCCGUCGUGAAGAGGGAAACAACCCAGACCGCCAGCUAAGGUCCCAAAGUCAUGGUUAAGUGGGAAACGAUGUGGGAAGGCCCAGACAGCCAGGAUGUUGGCUUAGAAGCAGCCAUCAUUUAAAGAAAGCGUAAUAGCUCACUGGUCGAGUCGGCCUGCGCGGAAGAUGUAACGGGGCUAAACCAUGCACCGAAGCUGCGGCAGCGACACUCAGGUGUUGUUGGGUAGGGGAGCGUUCUGUAAGCCUGCGAAGGUGGCCUGUGAGGGUUGCUGGAGGUAUCAGAAGUGCGAAUGCUGACAUAAGUAACGAUAAAGCGGGUGAAAAGCCCGCUCGCCGGAAGACCAAGGGUUCCUGUCCAACGUUAAUCGGGGCAGGGUGAGUCGACCCCUAAGGCGAGGCCGAAAGGCGUAGUCGAUGGGAAACGGGUUAAUAUUCCCGUACUUGGUGUUACUGCGAAGGGGGGACGGAGAAGGCUAUGUUGGCCGGGCGACGGUUGUCCCGGUUUAAGCGUGUAGGCUGGUUUUCCAGGCAAAUCCGGAAAAUCAAGGCUGAGGCGUGACGACGAGGCACUACGGUGCUGAAGCAACAAAUGCCCUGCUUCCAGGAAAAGCCUCUAAGCAUCAGGUAACACGAAAUCGUACCCCAAACCGACACAGGUGGUCAGGUAGAGAAUACCAAGGCGCUUGAGAGAACUCGGGUGAAGGAACUAGGCAAAAUGGUGCCGUAACUUCGGGAGAAGGCACGCUGACAUGUAGGUGAAGUGAUUUACUCAUGGAGCUGAAGUCAGUCGAAGAUACCAGCUGGCUGCAACUGUUUAUUAAAAACACAGCACUGUGCAAACACGAAAGUGGACGUAUACGGUGUGACGCCUGCCCGGUGCCGGAAGGUUAAUUGAUGGGGUCAGCGCAAGCGAAGCUCCUGAUCGAAGCCCCGGUAAACGGCGGCCGUAACUAUAACGGUCCUAAGGUAGCGAAAUUCCUUGUCGGGUAAGUUCCGACCUGCACGAAUGGCGUAAUGAUGGCCAGGCUGUCUCCACCCGAGACUCAGUGAAAUUGAACUCGCUGUGAAGAUGCAGUGUACCCGCGGCAAGACGGAAAGACCCCGUGAACCUUUACUAUAGCUUGACACUGAACAUUGAGCCUUGAUGUGUAGGAUAGGUGGGAGGCUUUGAAGUGUGGACGCCAGUCUGCAUGGAGCCGACCUUGAAAUACCACCCUUUAAUGUUUGAUGUUCUAACGUGGACCCGUGAUCCGGGUUGCGGACAGUGUCUGGUGGGUAGUUUGACUGGGGCGGUCUCCUCCUAAAGAGUAACGGAGGAGCACGAAGGUUGGCUAAUCCUGGUCGGACAUCAGGAGGUUAGUGCAAUGGCAUAAGCCAGCUUGACUGCGAGCGUGACGGCGCGAGCAGGUGCGAAAGCAGGUCAUAGUGAUCCGGUGGUUCUGAAUGGAAGGGCCAUCGCUCAACGGAUAAAAGGUACUCCGGGGAUAACAGGCUGAUACCGCCCAAGAGUUCAUAUCGACGGCGGUGUUUGGCACCUCGAUGUCGGCUCAUCACAUCCUGGGGCUGAAGUAGGUCCCAAGGGUAUGGCUGUUCGCCAUUUAAAGUGGUACGCGAGCUGGGUUUAGAACGUCGUGAGACAGUUCGGUCCCUAUCUGCCGUGGGCGCUGGAGAACUGAGGGGGGCUGCUCCUAGUACGAGAGGACCGGAGUGGACGCAUCACUGGUGUUCGGGUUGUCAUGCCAAUGGCACUGCCCGGUAGCUAAAUGCGGAAGAGAUAAGUGCUGAAAGCAUCUAAGCACGAAACUUGCCCCGAGAUGAGUUCUCCCUGAGACUUUAGGUCUCCUGAAGGAACGUUGAAGACGACGACGUUGAUAGGCCGGGUGUGUAAGCGCAGCGAUGCGUUGAGCUAACCGGUACUAAUGAACCGUGAGGCUUAACCUUACAACGCCGAAG